rnacentral:rRNA from 1 species
AUUGAACGCUGGCGGCAUGCCCUACACAUGCAAGUCGAACGGUAACAGGUCUUCGGAUGCUGACGAGUGGCGAACGGGUGAGUAAUACAUCGGAACGUGCCUAGUAGUGGGGGAUAACUACUCGAAAGAGUGGCUAAUACCGCAUGAGAUCUACGGAUGAAAGCAGGGGAUCGCAAGACCUUGUGCUACUAGAGCGGCCGAUGGCAGAUUAGGUAGUUGGUGGGAUAAAAGCUCACCAAGCCGACGAUCUGUAGCUGGUCUGAGAGGACGAUCGGCCAAACUGGGACUGAGACACGGCCCAGACUCCUACGGGAGGCAGCAGUGGGGAAUUUUGGACAAUGGGCGAAAGCCUGAUCCAGCAAUGCCGCGUGCAGGAUGAAGGCCUUCGGGUUGUAAACUGCUUUUGUACGGAACGAAAAGCCCCGGGUUAAUACCCUGGGGUCAUGACGGUACCGUAAGAAUAAGCACCGGCUAACUACGUGCCAGCAGCCGCCGUAA